rnacentral:rRNA from 1 species
GACGAACGCUGGCGGCGUGCUUAACACAUGCAAGUCGAACGGAAAGGCCCUGCUUUUGUGGGUUGCUCGAGUGGCGAACGGGUGAGUAACACGUGAGUAACCUGCCCUUGACUUUGGGAUAACUUCAGGAAACUGGGGCUAAUACCGGAUAGGAGCUCCUGCUGCAUGGUGGGGGUUGGAAAGUUUCGGCGGUUGGGGAUGGACUCGCGGCUUAUCAGCUUGUUGGUGGGGUAGUGGCUUACCAAGGCUUUGACGGGUAGCCGGCCUGAGAGGGUGACCGGCCACAUUGGGACUGAGAUACGGCCCAGACUCCUACGGGAGGCAGCAGUGGGGAAUAUUGCACAAUGGGCGGAAGCCUGAGGCAGAAACGCCGCGUGCGGGAUGACGGCCUUCGGGUUGUAAACCGAUUUCGCCGGUGACGAAGAGUGAGUGACGGUAAUGGGUAAAGAAGCACCGGCUAACUACGUG